rnacentral:lncRNA from 1 species
CGGAUUCUCGAGCUUGCACUUCUUCUUGGAUUCCAAAGAAGUAGACGUUGCUUCCCCUCUAGUCUUAUCUCUAGCCUCUAUUCUUUCAACGAGUGCAUGAGUAUCUAUCAAAUAUCAAUAGAUCAAUGUAUUUAUAUUUUAUUACAAAACCUUGCAUCCAUCCUACACACAAACAUAAGCAAACAAUGAGCUAUCGAAAUUGCGCCGAAUCCGGUGAGGCAACUAAAUCAGAAGAAGCGCAUAUCCCAU